rnacentral:lncRNA from 1 species
CUGGGAGAAGUCGGGCCUCGGCGGCGGCGAUCUGAGGCUCCCCCCGGCGUAAAUCCAGCGGCUGGGGUCGGCCGUGGGGGCUGCGGAUCCGUGCGCGGCCGUGUCCGCGGACUGCUGGGCCGCCCUUUACAGUUUACAAAGCACUCGCAAAUCUUUUUGACCCGGAUGACCCACACAGCAACCUUGGAGCCAGGAAGACGGGGGUCUCACUGCUCCCAGAGGAGCGAAGUGACUAUUCUGAGGCCAUUAAGCUGUUUACUCAACAUCUGUCUGCUGGGUCCCUAUACAGAGUCAAUUAGAUCUGGGGAGAAGGGUGAUGCUAAAGAACGAUGGCGACCAGAAACGUUAGAGUCAACUAAAAUAACACCGGCUUCCUAUUUCAUGCUGAUUAAAUUUUAUUGCAAGAACCAUAAAGCUGUGUUGGCCCUUUCUGUCCGUAAUGAAACUCAUCUCAGGGAUGGAAGCUGGACUGCUGCCCUGGACCAAACACGGACACAUUCGUUUCUUCCCCUUGAACCAAGGAGCUGCAGUGGACACCGGAGAGGCUGCCAGCAGGACGUCAGGCUGAAGCCCAGCACGCCCGACCGUGACGCCCCGACCGUGACAGCUAAGAACGUGGACUCCGGAAACACACGGCCCGCGUUCCAAUCCCACCCUCACUGGGUAACCUCGGGCAAGCUGUUGAACCUCUCUGUGCCUUAAUUCCCUCGUCCUGAACACAGGCACGAAAAUUCUACCUACUGCUUACACUGCCUUUCUUUUUCCCUGUGAGGAUUAAGUGAAGUGGGUAUGACACGUGCUAUGCUCAGAAGAGUGUCUGGUAUACACUAAGCACUCCAUCAGUGUGGACUAGUGAUAAAAUAUUGAUG